UGUCGGGGUAGGAGGCGAUCAUGGCGGCCGACUCCUUGGCCCUCUCCUCUGUAAACAAGAAUUCGAUCUGAGUCAAUACUAUCCAUGAACAUGAAUAGUAAAUCUGAAAGGAAGGAAUUGAGGAGUAGUAGCUAGGAACUAACCCAAGGUGAACUCCUCCUUGAAGGGCCUGGGCUUCAUCUCUAUCUCUAAUUCAAAUGAGCCUCUCUCGUCUUCUUCCUUGAUGCGAAUCUCUCUGUAGCUAGGGUUCGCUGGUUGCUUGCGUGCUGGUUUGGCUUUGGAUUGAACAAUUCGGUGGAUAGACGUGUAGACUCCAGAAGAAGAGGAAAGGACGAGAAGAAGAAGAAAAGAAGAGCAAAAUAAAGCCCAAAACAAAAAGGAAGAAGAGCCCA
rnacentral:sRNA from 1 species